rnacentral:rRNA from 1 species
UACAGAGGGUGCGAGCGUUGUUCGGAAUUAUUGGGCGUAAAGCGCAUGUAGGCGGUUUGUUAAGUCGCGUGUGAAAGCUCCAGGCUCAACCUGGAAAGUGCGCGCGAAACUGGCGAACUUGAGUGCCGGAGAGGGUGGCGGAAUUCCCGGUGUAGAGGUGAAAUUCGUAGAUAUCGGGAGGAACACCAGAGGCGAAGGCGGCCACCUGGACGGACACUGACGCUGAGACGCGAAAGCGUGGGGAGCAAACAGG